UAUUUUUAGGAACUUGGGGCUGUUCCUCUAAGGUAUUCUCUUAAAUUCAUACGAAUUCUAGUACUUGAAAUAAAUCCACAAUAACAGCACACAGGGCUAUUCCUACACUAGAAAUUAGCUGGGUUUCUAAUUAAGGGUGUAUGCAAACAUCUGAGUUCACAUAUGCUGGAUACAUGCAUUGUUCAAGCAGUCUUAGAAAUCUUCGAACCUUGCAUGAAUGGAUCACUUUCUGGCAAACAGAAAACCCAGUGUAGCAUCAAGUGGUUUAAAAUGUAGUAUUUUCUAUUGUUUGUGCCUUGUAUCAGGUUCCAUCCAGUGGAAGCCUGUGCAUUUCCAUUAAGAACCAGCUGAACAAGGUCAAUUUUACUGUGUAACUGUUCAGAAGAAAUGAAACACAGGAGGGAUUUUGAGAAGUCAGGAAAGAUGAUACAGAAGAAAGAACCAUUUCAACUUCUUUCUCUUUUAUUUAAUGCAUUUAAGAACAUGAUGACGAAAUACCUGUGUCUGAGCCAGGGAGGAAAAGGCAAAAAUCCUCACUUGGAAGUAUGAAAUUAUAUACAUUGCAUGGCAACAAGUAUGGAUCAAACCUGCAUCUGCAACUGCUGAGAGAAUCGUAAAGUCUACUAACUUAUAAAAGAGUGGGUGGCCCAUCAGAGAACCAGAUGAUUGACUGAAGCCUGCUCUAAUCUGAUCUAAAAUACUUACUAGAUCACAGAAGGAAAAUUCACCUUCUGACUUAGUGUUCAUGCCUUCCCCAUAAUUUUUGCAUGUAAGUAGUACGUAGUACCAAGGCAAAGAAAUUCUGAACACUGUACUUUUAACAUACUUCACCUUGCGUCUCAAAAAAUUAAAGUUUGGCAAAUCAGCAUUAGCGUCUCCUA